rnacentral:rRNA from 1 species
AAUUUUGGACAAUGGGGGAAACCCUGAUCCAGCCAUCCCGCGUGUAUGAUGAAGGCCUUCGGGUUGUAAAGUACUUUUGGCAGAGAAGAAAAGGUAUCUCCUAAUACGAGAUACUGUGGACGGUAUCUGCAGAAUAAGCACCGGCGAACCACGUUCCAGCAGCCGCGGUAGUACGUAGGGUGCAAGCGUUAAUCGGAAUUACUGGGCGUAAAGCGUGUGUAGGCGGUUCGGAAAGAAAGGUGUGAAAUCCCAGGGCUCAACCUUAGAACUGCAUUUUUAACUGCCGAGCUAGAGUAUGUCAGAGGAGAGUAGAAUUCCACGUGUAGCAGUGAAAUGCGUAGAUAUGUGGAGGAAUACCGAUGGCGAAGGCAGCCCCCUGGGAUAAUACUGACGCUCAGACACGAAAGCGUGGGGAGCGAACA